AUUGAACGCUGGCGGAAUGCUUUACACAUGCAAGUCGAACGGCAGCACGGACUUCGGUCUGGUGGCGAGUGGCGAACGGGUGAGUAAUGUAUCGGAACGUGCCCAGUCGUGGGGGAUAACGUAGUGAAAAUUACGCUAAUACCGCAUACGAUCUAUGGAUGAAAGCGGGGGAUCGCAAGACCUCGCGCGAUUGGAGCGGCCGAUAUCAGAUUAGGUAGGUGGUGGGGUAAAGGCCCACCAAGCCAACGAUCUGUAGCUGGUCUGAGAGGACGACCAGCCACACUGGAACUGAGACACGGUCAAGACUCCUACGGGAGGCAGCAGUGGGGAAUUUUGGACAAUGGGCGAAAGCCUGAUCCAGCCAUUCCGCGUGCAGGAUGAAGGCCCUCGGGUUGUAAACUGCUUUUGUACAGAACGAAAAGGUUUCUACUAAUACUAGGAGCUCAUGACGGUACUGUAAGAAUAAGCACCGGCUAACUACGUGCCAGCAGCCGCAGUAA
rnacentral:rRNA from 1 species